rnacentral:rRNA from 1 species
CAGCCGCCGCGGUAAUACCGGCGGCCCGAGUGGCGGCCACUAUUAUUGGGCUUAAAGCGUCCGUAGCCGGGUUGGGAAGUCCUCCGGGAAAUCUGGCCGCUUAACGGUCAGAAUUCCGGGAGAUACUGCCAGCCUAGGGACCGGGAGAGGCCGAGGGUAUUCCCGGAGUAGGGGUGAAAUCCUAUAAUCCCGGGAGGACCACCUGUGGCGAAGGCGCUCGGCUGGAACGGGUCCGACGGUGAGGGACGAAGGCCAGGGGAGCAAACCGGAUUAGAUACCCGGGUAGUCCUGGCUGUAAACGAUGCGGACUUUGUGUCGGACAAGCUAUGAGCUUGUCCGGUGCCGGAGGGAAACCGUUAAGUCCGCCGCCUGGGGAGUACGGCCGCAAGGCUGAAACUUAAAGGAAUUGGCGGG